UACGGAGGGUGCAAGCGUUAUCCGGAUUUGCUGGGUUUAAAGGGUGCGUAGGCGGGCUUUUAAGUCAGUGGUGAAAUCUCCGAGCUUAACUCGGAAAUUGCCAUUGAUACUAUUAGUCUUGAAUUAAGUUGAGGUGGGCGGAAUGUGUCAUGUAGCGGUGAAAUGCUUAGAUAUGACACAGAACACCGAUUGCGAAGGCAGCUCGCUAAACUUAUAUUGACGCUGAGGCACGAAAGCGUGGGGAUCAAACAGG
rnacentral:rRNA from 1 species